AUUGAACGCUGGCGGCAUGCCUUACACAUGCAAGUCGAACGGCAGCACGGGGGGUAACCCUCGUGGCGAGUGGCGAACGGGUGAGUAAUACAUCGGAACGUGUCCAGUAGCGGGGGAUAACCUCUCGAAAGAGAGGCUAAUACCGCAUACGACCUACGGUGAAAGAGGGGAUCGCAAGACCUCUCACUAUUGGAGCGGCCGAUGUCGGAUUAGCUAGUUGGUGGGGUAAAGCCUACCAAGGCUACGAUCCGUAGCUGGUCUGAGAGGACGACCAGCCACACUGGAACUGAGACACGGUCCAGACUCCUACGGGAGGCAGCAGUGGGGAAUUUUGGACAAUGGGCGCAAGCCUGAUCCAGCCAUGCCGCGU
rnacentral:rRNA from 1 species